UGCGUAGGCGGUUUGAUAAGUCAGGAGUGAAAGUUAUCUGCUUAACGGGGAAAUUGCUUUUGAUACUGUCAAGCUUGAAUCGGGUUGAGGUUAGCGGAAUGUGACAUGUAGCGGUGAAAUGCAUAGAUAUGUCAUAGAACACCAAUUGCGAAGGCAGCUAGCUAGGCCUAGAUUGACGCUGAGGCACGAAAGCGUGGGGAGCGAACAGGAUUAGAUACCCUGGUAGUCC
rnacentral:rRNA from 1 species